rnacentral:lncRNA from 1 species
GUCUCCACAGCCAAAUCAGCUCUCUUUCUAUCCCCACCAUCUUGAUCCGUACUAUUUGCCGGCGAAUGGUUCCCCGGUGAUUUUUUAAUAUUGAGAUUCACUUUCGCGGCUAUUGAAGAGAUAGUUAAACUUAGUCGGUGUUUUGGUUUCUAAUAGUCAUUGACGAUCGCUUUCUGUUUUGCAGGUGGAAGUUAGCUUCGUUCGGUGGUGAAGAUCUAGGUGUCGCCGUCGACUCAUACACGACCACAAUCGGUGGUAUAUCUAUCUUUCUCCAUAUAUCUUGGUAUGCACUUUCCUCUUUAUUCGACUCCAAGUCGGAUGUUCAUGCUUUUUAACAUGUAUGUUCGUCGUUUGUGAUCAUCGUUUGUGAUCAUCGUUGGCUGAACCGGUUCUGGUUCAUCAUUUUGGUCAUUGCCCGUUUGCCGACGCCUUGCAGCGGUGGCUGAACUAAUUUACUGUUUUUUAUUUUUUAUUUUCUUUUUGUCUGACCGGACUAGUUUGAGUUGUAGUGCUGGUCACCUCUCCGGGGUGAACUAGUUCAACUUUGUGGCCAAUUUUUUGUGGUGAACUAGUUCAAUGGGUAAUUUUCAAGGGUGUACUAGUUCGACAUUAAGGCCAGUUGUUCGGGUGAACUAGUUCAACAUUAUGGUCAAUUUUCUAGUUUUGGUGAAUUUUGUAGUGUUGCUUGAUCUGCAGUAUUGUACUGGUUCAGGGUAAAAUUUGACAGAACCAGUUCUAAUAAUACUGUGUAAUAGUGGCGAUUAUAAAGUGUUGUUCUACUUUGAAUUGUUGAGAAAUCCUCUGAACUAGUUCAGAUGAAAUGUAUUGAAGCUCCUUUUUAUGGUGUUUCAGAUGAUACAGAGAACUUGAAAUGUACUGUUACUGUCUUUUCAUAUUCUUUUUUUAUGGUAGUGUGUACUAAUUCAGGUUCCACGUUGUAAACUUUUUCUGUUUGAAUUGGAGGGUGUAUUAGUUCAGGUUCCUUAGUGUAACUUCACCUUCUUUUUGAAUUGGAGGUGUAUUCGUUCAGGUUCCCCACUUUAACAACUCUUCUUGUUUGAAUUGUAGGGUGUACUAGUACAAAGUUCAAUAUUGUAAGCCUGAAUUUUGUAGGAAUCUUUUUCUAAAUGAAAAAAUCUCCCGUAUGUCACAAGCUAUUCGGAAAUUCCCCGAGUUGACAUAAAUUAUCGUCAAUGUUUGAGGCGUCACAACCUUUUAAUUUUUUUUCAAAAUGUGUCCUGACGAGAAAUUGAGCCGUUAAGUUGUCCACGUGGAGUAAUGGACUGAGAGCUGUGACUGAUGUGGAGAUCUACGUGGAUAAUCGAAACAGUGACAAAAAAUUUAUUUGAAUUUUAUUUGUUUAAAAAGGCCAAGCCAAGCCAAACCUAAUUUCCAUUCUUCAUCUCCAUUCAUCUCCAUCAUCACCGUUCCUAUCUUAAUCUCGUCCUUUCCGUCACCCCUUUGUUGCAGUUUGUUUUUCUUCCCCCGAAUGGAGUCAUAUGGGAUGGCUACAAGCUCUAGUCAGUCUACAGCAGCGCCGAUCGAAAGCUACUCUGGUGCGCACAAAUGCGCACACCAUUGCGACAUCGUCGUCAAGGUUGCCUGAAUCGAAUUCGGGGACGAGCUUUCUACCAAUGUCCGUUCUGGAAUGAGAAAGCUGUCGAUUGUGGUUACUUUCAAUGGGUCGACCAACCCCAUGCUUCUGGGGAUGAAAAGGUUGUCAAAGAGCUUCGGAGGAUUGACGCCGAUUUGAAAUCGAACUUGGCCGAGUUGCAAUCUGUUACGGUUAGCUUACGACGUAUGGAAGAGAAAUUCUCAUAUGCAUGUUUUUCGUUUGGUGUGAUUGUGUUAUCAAUUGGAUUUUUUUGUCUUGGGCGAUUAGUGUAGAAUUUCGGGUCAUUGUUCUACACGUUCAUUUCCAAUUGUAAGAGUACCUUCCGAUUGAAAAUUUGCAGACAAUACAUCCUGCUACAAGCAGGGAUUGUACAACUAGUGUGGUAAUACAAGUUCGGACCACAUCUAGUAACAAAGAACGUUCUGCAUAAUAUGACCAAAACACGAGUAACC